rnacentral:rRNA from 1 species
AGGAUGAACGCUAGCGGCAGGCUUAACACAUGCAAGGUCGAGGGGUUAUUGGUUUUACGGACAAGAGACCGGCGCACGGGUGCGUAACGCGUAUGCAAUCUACCUUUGCAGAGGGAUAGCCCAGAGAAAUUUGGAUUAAUACCUCAUAGUAUAGUACUUUGGCAUCAAGGAACUAUUAAAGUCACAACGGCAAAAGAUGAGCAUGCGUCCCAUUAGCUAGUUGGUAAGGUAACGGCUUACCAAGGCUACGAUGGGUAGGGGUCCUGAGAGGGAGAUCCCCCACACUGGUACUGAGACACGGACCAGACUCCUACGAGAGGCAGCAGUGAGGAAUAUUGGACAAUGGGCGCAAGCCUGAUCCAGCCAUGCCGCGUGCAGGAUGACGGUCCUAUGGAUUGUAAACUGCUUUUAUACAGGAAGAAACACUCCGACGUGUCGGAGCUUGACGGUACUGUAAGAAUAAGGAUCGGCUAACUCCGUG